CAUCUUCGAGCGAAACUGUGGACAAAAUAGGGUAUUAAGCCUACUUUUAUUUAGGUAAAGUGUCAGACCCAUUCAAACGCACCCAAAACCUCAAGUAGUGGGAUCCAUGUGUCAAGAAGGGGGUGAGUGUCUCAGUUAGUGGAAAACAGGUGACUGCAGGAGAGUGACCGUUCGUUUUAGGUGACGACAGUAUUUAAGGCCAAAUUUCAAAUAACGUGCCACUUCUCUACAUGUCUUCCUUCUUCUUCAAACUGCUGAAACUCUUUUCUCCUCCUUCUCUCUAAAAUCUCCUCCUUCUCUCUAAGAAAACCUCUCCAUUUCUUCUUCCAAUCACCUCUCAGGCAUCGCUGGAACACUCCCGGCGUCAAGAGCUUCCAGUUAAACCGAUGGGUUUGUGAUUCUGAGCUGUAUUCCUAAAACGUGGCCGUCGGACGUUAAGUCUUGGUAGUAGGGAGCUCUAAUUCUGCAUAGUUGAGCGUUCGGUUACGUGUCGAGAAGGAGAAGAGCUGCUGGAAGAAGUAUUGGAAGACGCAACGGAAGUGAAGGCCGAACCUUGAGAGCGUUCGGUCUGGUGUUGGCUUUACCUUUUGUAAAGACCGGGCGGCAUUAGUAUAUUUUGGUAAACGUUCGAUCUAGCAGUAGCUAGCGUUAGUUUUUAAAUCCCCUGUUAUUGUGUAAGGCCGUUCGGCCA